GGGAACAAGAAUCUCAGUAGACUGGAUCACAAGAAAAUGUUCUACCCUUGGAAGCAGAAGAGAAAAAGUACUUUCGUUUUUUUGAAGUAAUCCAAUUUUUCAUAUAGUACGAAAUUUCAAUAUACAAAAAGAAUCAAGCAAAGAAUACAUCUCUAGCCAUAUGCUAUACCAAACAAACAAACACAUCAAAUGAUAAAGAAAAAUUACAAACAAACAAAAGAAAAAGUUUUAAACGAAGUAUCAAAAGAACUGCUCUCUCAUCCCUUGUUUCCAUCGCGACAAUGAUUAUCGUGAUUACAGGGCCUGUCGUACCUAUUAGCAGCAGGCUUUUGGGGAAGACAUGUCUUCAGGUCGCCACCACAAGAAGGGGAGGACCCACGAAUCUGACCAUAGUCGAUGUAUUUACCUGGUACAUCUCUAGCCCAGACUGACGCCAACAGCAUCAAGACAACGACGCAAAAAGCCCUAAUUAGAGUGAUAUUGGCCAUUUUCCGCCGCGGUUUAUAUUUUACUGCUUAAUUGAAUUAUAUAGUGUUAGGGUUUAGCGGCUAAGAGGUUUCCACUCUAUGUUAGAGGUUAUUAUUUUGUAUGGGCUUUGAAUAAAU
rnacentral:lncRNA from 1 species